rnacentral:rRNA from 1 species
UACGAAGGGGGCUAGCGUUGUUCGGAAUCACUGGGCGUAAAGCGCACGUAGGCGGAUUUUUAAGUCAGGGGUGAAAUCCCGAGGCUCAACCUCGGAACUGCCUUUGAUACUGGAGAUCUUGAGUCCGGAAGAGGUAAGUGGAACUGCGAGUGUAGAGGUGAAAUUCGUAGAUAUUCGCAAGAACACCAGUGGCGAAGGCGGCUUACUGGUCCGGAACUGACGCUGAGGUGCGAAAGCGUGGG